rnacentral:rRNA from 1 species
CAGUAGCCGCGGUAAUACGUAGGGUGCAAGCGUUAAUCGGAAUUACUGGGCGUAAAGCGUGCGCAGGCGGUUAUAUAAGUCAGAUGUGAAAUCCCCGGGCUCAACCUGGGAACUGCAUUUGAGACUGUAUGGCUAGAGUGUGUCAGAGGGGGGUAGAAGUCCACGUGUAGCAGUGAAAUGCGUAGAUAUGUGGAGGAAUACCGAUGGCGAAGGCAGCCCCCUGGGAUAACACUGACGCUCAUGCACGAAAGCGUGGGGAGCAAACAGGAUUAGAUACCCGAGUAGUCCAUGUCUCUUAUAC